rnacentral:tRNA from 1 species
UUUCCUUUGGUGCAACGGUAGAUAAUCUGUUUUUGGUUCAGAAGAUCGUGGUUCGAAUCCAUGUAGGAAAAC